rnacentral:rRNA from 1 species
UAGGGAGCGAGCGUUGUCCGGAAUUACUGGGUGUAAAGGGAGUGUAGGCGGGAUUGCAAGUCAGAUGUGAAAACUAUGGGCUUAACCCAUAGACUGCAUUUGAAACUACAAUUCUUGAGUGAAGUAGAGGUAAGCGGAAUUCCUAGUGUAGCGGUGAAAUGCGUAGAUAUUAGGAGGAACAUCAGUGGCGAAGGCGGCUUACUGGGCUUUAACUGACGCUGAGGCUCGAAAGCGUGGGGAGCAAA